GUCCCCAUCGUCUAGAGGACCAGGACGUCGCCCUUUCACGGCGAAAACACGGGUUCGAACCCCGUUGGGGACG
rnacentral:tRNA from 1 species